rnacentral:pre_miRNA from 1 species
GGGGGAGGCCGGAUCCUGGGCUGUGUCCCGGCGCCCUGUGCUCCGGGGCCUGCGCUGUUGGAUCGCGUCCCGCCCCGCAGGCCCUC